GUACGUACUGGCAUUGUUGGUUUCUCCCUUCUGACGAACCAUGAUGUCAUUUAUUUGGUGUUGUGGGGAAUCAGGACUGUUACUUUGAAAAAAUUAGAGUGUUUAAAGCAGGCUCACGCUUGAAUACAUUAGCAUGGAAUAAUGAAAUAGGACGUUUGAUUCUAUUUUGUUGGUUUCUAGGAUCGACGUAAUGAUUAAUAGGGAUAGUUGGGGGCAUUAGUAUUCAAUUGUCAGAGGUGAAAUUCUUGGAUUUAUUGAAGACUAACUACUGCGAAAGCAUUUGCCAAGGAUGUUUUCAUUAAUCAAGAGCGAAAGUUAGGGGAUCGAAGACGAUCAGAUACCGUCGUAGUCUUAACCAUAAACUAUGCCGACUAGGGAUCGGAUGAUGUUAAUUUAAUGACUCAUUCGGCGCCUUACG
rnacentral:rRNA from 1 species